rnacentral:rRNA from 1 species
UACGAAGGGGGCUAGCGUUGCUCGGAAUCACUGGGCGUAAAGGGCGCGUAGGCGGGCUCUUAAGUCAGGGGUGAAAUCCUGGAGCUCAACUCCAGAACUGCCUUUGAUACUGGAGAGCUUGAGUCCGGAAGAGGUGAGUGGAACUCCGAGUGUAGAGGUGAAAUUCGUAGAUAUUCGGAAGAACACCAGUGGCGAAGGCGGCUCACUGGCCCGGUACUGACGCUGAGGUGCGAAAGCGUGGGGAGCAAACAGGG